rnacentral:rRNA from 1 species
GCCCAAUGAGGAUUUAAAUGGCCGCAGUAUUUUGACUGUGCAAAGGUAGCAUAAUUAUUAGUUUUUUAAUUGAAAGCUUGUAUGAAGGGUUGGACGAGGUAAAGUCUGUCUUUAUUUAAAUUAUAAUAGAAUUUAACUUUUAAGUCAAAAGGCUUAAAUGUUUAUAAAAGACGAGAAGACCCUAUAGAUCUUUAUUUAAUAAGAGUUUUAAUAAUUUAGGAUUAUUUUAGUUUAAAAUUUAAAUUAAAUUUUAUUGGGGUAAUAUAAAGAUUAAAUAAAUUCUUUUUAUUUAUAACAUUGAUUUAUGAAUUAAUGAUCCAAUAUUAUUGAUUAUAAGAUUAAGUUACCUUAGGGAUAACAGCGUAAUUUUUUUGGAGAGCUCUUAUCGAUAAAAAAGUUUGCGACCUCGAUGUUGGAUUAAAAAUUAUCUUGGGUGCAGAAGCUCCGGAUUUUGGUCUGUUCGACCAUUAAAUUUUUACAUGAUCUGAGUUCAGACCGGCGUAAGCCAGGUCGGUUUCUAUCUUUAUUUAAUUAAAAUAUUUUAGUACGAAAGGACCAAAUAUUUAAUAUAAUUAUAUUUAUUUUUGAAUAAUAUU